rnacentral:rRNA from 1 species
CCUACGGGUGACAGCAGUGGGGAAUAUUGGGCAAUGGGCGCAAGCCUGACCCAGCAACGCCGCGUGAAGGAAGAAGGCUUUCGGGUUGUAAACUUCUUUUCUCAGGGACGAAGCAAGUGACGGUACCUGAGGAAUAAGCCACGGCUAACUACGUGCCAGCAGCCGCGGUAAUACGUAGGUGGCAAGCGUUAUCCGGAUUUACUGGGUGUAAAGGGCGUGUAGGCGGGAAAGCAAGUCAGAUGUGAAAACCAUGGGCUCAACCUGUGGCCUGCAUUUGAAACUGUUUGUCUUGAGUACUGGGGAGGCAGACGGAAUUCCUAGUGUAGCGGUGAAAUGCGUAGAUAUUAGGAGGAACACCAGUGGCGAAGGCGGUCUGCUGGACAGCAACUGACGCUGAGGCGCGAAAGCGUGGGGAGCAAACAGGAUUAGAUACCCGAGUAGUC